AUAAUGGGUUAAUCCAAACAUUCCCGUCAUAAUUGCAGAAAGAUGCAACUCAAUCACAGCUGAGUUGAAAGUGGUAAUCUAAGGAUUGGUGAUAUACUAUUGUGAUGGGUGAUUGGAUUCAGUGGUUGAAGGUGAUGCAGCUUUAGUCAUCAAGUAUUUGAGCUCUAGUGUUAGGGGCUCUUCACUAU